AGAAAUAGGUUGGGGGGGGGGAAACACUCAAAAUUGUUAUGUUAGCAUACCUUCUUACCGAUUGUGCUCUCGGCCCUGUCGGUCAUUUUAAGUUUAGUUAAUGUAGGAGCCUUAUAGAUGGCAGCAGCAUUGCACCAUGAUGUCAUGGCGGCCAUAGCAUCCACCAAUAACAUGGGACUUUCACAGGGCUGGAACCGAAGAACUGGACGUGGAUUUCAAAUGGGCGGAAAUGUAUUACUUGCAUCUCCAUCCCAUCAGAUUAUGGAAAUCAUUUAAUUUGACUUAUAUGCAUAUUGUUACUAGUGGCCUGGACACACUUCAGUGAGGAGUCACCCUUUCAAGCGUUGAUGAGUAUCACUGAAACACUAUCCAUGAAGAGUCACAGGAAAGGUCCUAAUUGUGGAUAUAAUUUUUGGAAAUUCAUGUAAGAAAGACAUAUCUAAAAUCUAGCGAAUGUUUCAUGCAGCUUACCAUUUGUCAGUGCUAGGGAGAAACUGGUUUGCUGUACCAAGCAGUGAAGGAUGGUCAUCAGUUUUGGACUGAGGAAGGAGAAGUUGGGAGGUUGUUCAUACAUGCUACGUCAUCUGUGAGGAGGCCCUGUAAUGAAGGUAUGGCCAUGAAUACUAUGCUAUCUUGUUUAUCUGUGCAACAGAGUGGAAAAUUCCAGUGUCUGGAGCAUUUUUGGUAAACUCCUGUAAAGUUUCUUCCCUCCCACUUCACAGAGACUAUGGAAUCCCUAAGAAUGGAUUUAAAUUUAACGUCAGAUAUUGCUGUUUGGAUUAAAGUUUUUAUUUUUCUGAGGCUUUUAUUAAUGCUGCUGCUUUUUGUUGAGUCUUGGACAGGGUUCUUUGAAGAAAUUGCUGUGGUGAAGGAUGGCAUUGGUUCUGAAUGGAGCAAGGUGCACUGAAGUAGUUACCAUCACUGGACUCUGCAUGUGGAGGACAGUUACUUCAGACUUGGGAAGGAGCAACUUGAAGUUUGUUCCCUCUGCACAUUAACUACAGGCAGUUCCUUGUAGUAAAGGUGUCUGUUUAAGGGCUUUCAUUUUGAUUAAUUUAUUUUGUGGAUCAUUUUUAUUCCCAGCUUCAAUUGCAUUGAGUUUUAAGAAGGAAAAAUUAUCUCCAAUGCUAAUAUUUGUAUUAAAAUUUAAAAUGUUAUGUUCUGCUGACAGUUCCAGACAAAUGAUGUCACAUUUCUGGAUGGAACAAGUGCACCCAAGCAGCCCAUAUCAUCAAUCACUGAACAUUGGCCAUGAGGAGGACGGUGACUUUAGACUUGAAGCACCCCCUCCACCACUGCAAUGUGGAAUCUCUAUAUGAAGGAUAAGCACAGGAAUGGGUGCACCAUAAUGGCCUGGAUAGGAGAGAACAAGAUGGAUAUCAGUUAACAUGGACUUGGUGUUUUUGAAAUUGUGAAAAAUUAUACAAGGACAAGGUAAAGUUUUGUUUUGUAUUUCAGCAUCAUGUUGCACAUCUUUAAUUGAACGUCUAUGUAUCAAGUAUGUCAACGGUGCAACAAUCAUUAAAACAUUCACCAUUAACACUUAACACAACAACCACAUGCUAGGGGAAAAUUACAGAUAGCAGGCGUAGCAAAACAACAGGCUGCUGAAACAGUCUGAAGUAUCACAUAGCCUUAAACAAGUGGAAUAGGAUUUUAUGAAAGAUUUUAAUAGAACAAACUGUAAUGAAUUUUAAGUAAUUAUUUAUGCUAUUCUGAGUGGACUGCAAUGCACAUUGAAACACCUGAGGCUGAAACAUGUUAGUGUUACAUGGUGAAUAUACAGACAUUCAAGUAAAGUUUCAUGCUUAAAAAUUU